GUGGACCUUCUGGGCACAUUUCCAAAACUCGCAUGAUGCUGCUGCUGCUGCACCAUCAUCCGAUCAGAAUGCCCACUUGUAAAGACGCAAAUGCUACUGCUUGGCACGAGGAGAUGAUUCCGUGCUAGCCAAACAUAAAUACACAGGAUUCAUUUCGCACGAAAAGCUUGCACCGAGAACAUGAAUAAGUUCAGCCACGAGCACAUAACACGAGAAUGAACAUGAUGUAAACCCCAAUCUCUUUCAGAUCCAUGAAAAGCACUCAAAUUCAGGGAAAAGAGACCAUUGGAGAAAUUAAAAGAACUACUACCAGCGAAACCCCUUAUUGAAAUCAAAUGCAUUUUUCACUUCAAAACACCAAUCUUUCAUACUUGCGUGUUGCCUCUCGCCAAUUCAAUAAGCCAAUAUAUCCAAACGCAAGAGGACACGACACGACUGCUGAACCUAAAACAUUCAGAGCCAAAGGAAGAAGCAUUGAUCCCGCCCGCUCACUGUCGAACCUAAAAACAUUCACGAUGCAGGUUUCGCGCCCUCAAAAAUUCGUCAAAUCGAGCCAAGCCCACUUCCAAUUCUCGAGCAAUGUAGCCGAAUUCGUCGAUGAUAGAUUGAUAUACAUUGCGGCCGAUGCAUGACAAUCCUUAGGGGAAGAACAAUACUCCGCAUGCAAUUGAAAGAGAGAGAGCGCGCGAGAGAGAGAGAGAGAGAGGGGUUGCGCGAGGCGAAACCUGGUUGUAAGAGGAAGCGACGGCGGGGACAGUGAACCCAAAAGCUAACCUCCAGCGGCGGCGGCGCGCGACGGUUGCUCGGCGGUGAAGGGGCGGCGAAGCCGAAGGCUGGAGGACUUGUCCGGUAGUCUCUGUCAAGAGCA
rnacentral:lncRNA from 1 species